rnacentral:rRNA from 1 species
AAAAGAAACUAACAAGGAUUCCCUCAGUAACGGCGAGUGAGAGGGAAGAGCUCAGUUUUGAAAUCUGGCAGUGCUUUUACUGUCCGAGUUGUAAAUUGAAGAGAAUGUCAUCCACACUGGACCAUGUCUAAAUUGUAAUGAUCCACAGUCCUUUGAUGGAGUAUCAGAGAGGGUAAUAAUCCCGUCCUUAAUGUGGACUUACCAGUGUUUUAUGUGAUGCACUCUCUCAGAGUCGAGUAGUUUGGGAAUGCUGCUCUAAUGGGAGGUAAACUCCUUCUAAAGCUAAAUAUUGGCGAGAGACCGAUAGUGAACAAGUACCGUGAGGGAAAGAUGAAAAGAACUCUGAAAAGAGAGUCAAAGAGAACGUGAAAUUGCUGAAAGGGAAGCAUUUGGAGUCAGAUGUGUCUUCAUUGUCAUACCACCUCAGUGGCAGAGGCUGAGUGUUGGUUACUUGAGGACGGGCCAGCACUCACAUAGGCGAUUGGAGAAGGGGUCAUGGAAUGUAGCUCAAGUUAUUGAGUGAUUAUAGCCUUGAUUCAUAUACAAUGUGUCCUUUAUGUGUGAUUGAAGAGCACGGGUGUUUGACUCGGUGCUUGAUUGACUGC